rnacentral:lncRNA from 1 species
CUGCCUCGCAGGGCACGCUGCAGAAGUUUGUGGACGACACCUUCCAGGCCAUUCUCAGCGUGAACCGGCCCAUCCCCAUCGCCGUCAAGUACCUGUUUGACCUUCUGGAUGAGCUAGCAGAGAAGCACGGCAUCGAGGACCCAGGGACCCUGCACAUCUGGAAGACCAACAGUCUGCUGCUGCGGUUCUGGGUGAAUGCCUUGAAGAACCCACAGCUCAUCUUUGAUGUACGGGUGUCGGACAAUGUGGACGCCAUCCUUGCUGUCAUCGCCCAGACCUUCAUUGACUCCUGUACCACCUCGGAGCAUAAAGUGGGCCGGGUGAGAGCAGUGCCAGCAGCAGCAGCUGGCAGGGGCUUGAGGAGGAAAGGCUUAUGGGGGAAGCCUAGAGGGCUGUGCACAGAGCUCUGGGUGGGCAGUGGCAGCAUCAUGGGGGCACCUUCACCUCCGAGCUCAUGCCUAGCGCCUCCCCUCCCUCCGGAGCAGGAUUCCCCAGUGAACAAACUGCUCUACGCCCGGGAGAUCCC